rnacentral:rRNA from 1 species
AGACUGGGAUAACUCCGGGAAACCGGGGCUAAUACCGGAUAACAUUUUGAACCGCAUGGUUCGAAAUUGAAAGGCGGCUUCGGCUGUCACUUAUGGAUGGACCCGCGUCGCAUUAGCUAGUUGGUGAGGUAACGGCUCACCAAGGCAACGAUGCGUAGCCGACCUGAGAGGGUGAUCGGCCACACUGGGACUGAGACACGGCCCAGACUCCUACGGGAGGCAGCAGUAGGGAAUCUUUCCGCAAUGGACGAAAGUCUGACGGAGCAACGCCGCGUGAGUGAUGAAGGCUUUCGGGUCGUAAAACUCUGUUGUUAGGGAAGAACAAGUGCUAGUUGAAUAAGCUGGCACCUUGACGGUACCUAACCAGAAAGCCACGGCUAACUACGUGCCACCACCCGCGGUAAUACGUAGGGUGGCAAGCGUUAUCCGGAAUUAUUGGGCGUAAAGCGCGCGCAGGUGGUUUCUUAAGUCUGAUGUGAAAGCCCACGGCUCACCCGUGGGAGGGUCAUUGGAAACUGGGAGACUUGAGUGCAAAAGAGGAAAGUGGAAUUCCAUGUGUAGCGGUGAAAUGCGUAGAGAUAUGGAGGAACACCAGUGGCGAAGGCGACUUUCUGGUCUG